UUACUUGUUAUACAGAACUACAGUGAAAUUCAUGGCUGCUGCUAAUGUUUCACCAGUUGGAGCCUUUGCAUUCUCAAUCAUUAAUUAAAUUAGAUACUGAGGUUCUCUGCAUGUUCCCUUGUUUCUAUUUUAAAAGUCCUUUUUGUGCCUUGCUCAGUGCCAUUUAACUCUCUUGUAAUUUCCCACAUAAAGAGCUUCACACAUUUGUACUAUUUUCCCCCACUUCAUAGAGCGGCACCUGUUUGCUUGAGUCAAGAACCAUAGUGCACACCUCCAAAGCUCUUGGAAGAUUCAUAUGUACCUGUAAUUUGCUUUAUUUUCAAGUAGUGGAUUUAGUUCUUUUUAAAUUCUUUAUUGGCAAUAUGGGGAAGAAAAUUCUGUGUAGAGAACCAGAUAAUCAGAGGCAGCAGUGAUUUAUCAUCUUCAUAGUUCAUUCUAAACUCUGUUUUUCAAACUGUACAUGAAAAAUUACAAAUACUUAAAUGAAUAUACAACUGUGGAGUCUUUAUUUUUAUAACAUAAAUUAUAAAAAAUAUUUAUAUGAAGUCAUGCACUGGAAAAGCAGGAAAUGCCAGGUGUCCAUUCAGUUGGCUUUGAGCAUCCAGUGCACUUAUGGAAUUAAAUCUGUAUCAGAGUGGAUUCCCAAGGAGCUGGGCAGUUAAAUAUCAUGGAUAUGAGGGAAGGAAAACAAAAGACCAGUUGGGCCAUAUGCUGAGUUGGAACUUGAUUUAUCUGAGGUUUACACUUUGUCCCCAUCUGUAAUUUGGCAUUAGGAAACACCAGAGUGUAGGUAGUAGAGUUUAUAGUAAUACUAGCAGGAGCAGCAAUUCCAGUGCUGCAGCAGAUACUGUUUUGGCAUCAGUAUUGUACUGAAGUUACAGAAUAUUUGUAGCUGUUUAUUGACCUGGAUUUGAAGAAACUUCUGUGGAACAAGAGAGGCUCUUCUGUCAUUCUGUAUGUGCUGAUUUUCAAAGGUCUGCAAUGAAAUGCUGCUACUGGAUGCCUUAAAGCUUUAUAAACAUGAUUUGUUGCAAUGAGAACUGUUAGACACAGAACAUAUAUGGGGUUUAUUUUCUAUCUUGCAUGUGUGCGCACUUCUUUCUUCAUAUGUCUUCUACUUACUGUAUUAGAUGAACACUUGGUGACUCUGUCAAUCAAUAGUAAAAAUCGGAUUCCCAAGGACCUCCUUAUAUCACUUCCUGAUUUCUGAGUCUUUUGUUGUGCCGUGUAGCACAACUAAGUCUACUACUUUUUGUUGAGAUUGCUCUUCCUCAAGCAGCAUAUAAUUUCUAGCAUAGUGAAAUGCUCCAAAAAACCCAACCUGGAAGUUUUUUUAGGUUGGUAAUGCCAAGUGCUCAUCUAGUAUUUGCACUGCUUUUAACAAAAACAAAAUAUGUACUUUUUAAUUUUACAAGUUUGUAAGUUCUGUGUGGAUCUACAUGUAUGACUAGCUGUUCUUCUAAGUGCCAACAUGAUGUAUUGAAUGAAUGAUUUAUUUUUUUAUUUUUUUAUUUUUUUCCCCUGAGGAAUCGGUCCCAAAUAACCAGAAAAAAAAAAGAUAGGACAAUUUUGCGUGAUGAGCGGGCAAACUCAGGAUUGGACAGGAAAGAGCCUCUAAAAAAAAGGAAUUUAUCUUGUGUAGCCAGUACCUCUUCAUUUUACUUGAGUUCGUGAGUUCUUUCACUGAAUAAUGAGUAUUUAGAAGAAACAAAUGGUUCCUCAGGUAGCCAGAUCUUAAGUCAGUUAGGCUGUUAAAAGCAGUUUUUUUAAAUGUACGUAGAAAUCCACACAUAAUUGCUAGACUCAGAGCAUUAAUCUUGCAAGUUCUUGAUGAAUUAAAUGUGCAGCUAUAUUUUUCCUCCUUUAGGUUUCUUGUACCUUUUAAAACCAAAGCCUCCUCAGUUUAUGCAAAUGUUUUAUAACAUUCUAGUCUCAGAAGCAUAGAGUGGAUAGUGGUAGCAAGGUCAGUGUUUGGAUUAAGUAAUAUAUUUAAACCUAGUUAAUUUUAUUUCAGUUUUUAAAUGGUACUUUGUUGAUUAGUAACUAUUCAUUCUCUUGUUUCUGUAUUAUCUUUUCCAAUGGCUCAUGGUUUCGAUAGCACUUAACUAUUUGAAAGAAUGUGGUUUUUGAUGUUCAGAAAUAGUUCCACUUCUGUCCUUCACACUUCAUUAACUUAGUGCUUACUGAUUUGGACGGUGCAGACAUAAGAAGGGCACAAAAUCUAGGCAUCCAUAAUUGUAAGAAAAGUGCCUUGAUUUUGCCCUUCUCCGACACUCAUGUUGUAUCCUUAGAAUGAGGAAAAAUAAACACCUCAUUAUUUAUUAGCUUUUUUUGUCCUUUUCUGAUGGAAUAAUUUGUUAAUAUGGUGUAUAAAUGACCUACUAAACUUUCAUUGUUGGCUAGUCCAGGGACUUUUUAAGUUUCAUCUUGUACUAAACAUUUUUGUGUGUGUUUUCUUUUGUACAGAAGUCUCUUGUAAAUAUUGGCAGUUUUGUAUUGGCUGUCUGAAGAUCAUUGAUUUUCUUUUUCUUUUUUUUUCUUUUUAAGUACUUGGCUUUUUAGUAGAAUGACCAGUUCAGAUUUGGGUGCCUGUUUCUCCCAAUACAAACUUUUAGAAGUGAUCACAACAAUGUACUAAGGGUUGUGAUGUUUCAACUGCAAUUGAAAUUUAAUGACCUUUUCUUCAAAAUAUGCAUAUAGUUAAAUGGGCUCCUAAGAUAAUGCAGGGAUUUUUUUUUUUUUUUUCUGUGAAAUGUUAUUACAUAGGAGAUGAGAAUAGGUGAUUGUAAUAUUCUUGUAAUCAUGAAGGUGUCUUAAUUUGGGUGGUUCUUCCUGUUGAAGAUUUUCUGAAGACAAACCAAGAAAACCUUCAGGGGGUUUGGUGUAAAUUAGUAUAUGUUAGUAGCACUGUUUUUGUGUCAUGAGUUUUUCAUAUUGCAAAGUAUACUUACUUGGGAGGUGGAGAUAAGCUGAUGAUGGCUAUCUGAUAUUCAAGUCAAGUGUGCUUAAAAGUAUUUCAAGAACUAAUAUAAAUUUCAUAUUUGUAGUAUGACCUACUUCAGGAGGUCUAGAAGGAGGUGUAAUAUUGCAAUGCUAAUUUAGAGGAAAAUGUGCUGUUUGAAUUGUUAUGUGGUUUGUUGGCAAAGCAAUGGAGAAUGAUGGUUUAUUUUAUGUGAAGUGAUUGAGUUUAUAAAGUAACAGAUGUGUGAAUUGUAAUGUGGAUUCAGAUCCACAGAUAUUCUGGAAUCCUUGUAGGUAAGUCUGUAUGUAGAGGGAAAGACCAAGAUACUUUAGGACAUUUGCGUAGACUUUAUCAUUUUGUACUGAAUAAUUUUUAAUGUUUCCCUCUGCUUUAAGCAGGUUCCAUUGUUUUAAUCUCUAAUCUCCUUAGAGCACAGCAGUUUUCAUGUAGCAUUUAAAUCCUGGAUUCCUCAGUUUUAUUUUUGUUUGCUCAAAAGCAAAAGAUGGUUUCCAUAUUGGAUUUCUCUAUAGAUGUUUCUUCUGGGUUGAAAUAACUUAGAGUGUCAUCUGCUUGAAGGUGUGGAAUGUCCCUGAUGCUUGUUGCUUUCCACAGGGAAGACUGAGGAAUCUUACUGGAGAGGUCAUAUUACAAAUGCUGAAGAUUAUUAGAUAUAUUUUGUCCAAAAAUUACUAUGUGUAUGCUUCUUAUUUGGAGAAAAGCCAGUUAUUCAGUCUCAACAAGUAUUUAAUUUCAAUUUUUAAUCUUCAAGUUAUUUUUUAGAGCUCCAAGUUUUCCAUCUACAAACCUUUAAAUUCUGAAUCUCAGAGUAGUAGUUCAAUACGUUCUAAGUGCUGUAUAAUUUGUAGUUUAUUUCAUAAGCAGUUUAACAUACAUCUUUUUUACUUCUUUUAUAUGUGAUGUUCAGAAUAGAAAUUCUGUUAGUAAAAUGUAACCAUCACUGUGCAUGAUUAAUUCAGAUUUUGUUGGUAAGUAAAACUUCCUAUUUUUAGAUAGGGUGAAGAUUUUUUGGAAGUAGUGAAAUUCUGAUGAUUUUUCUGUUCUUUGUAUUCCUUGAAUACAACUGAAUAUGAGCAUUUCUUAAACUUGUCCAAAUUCUUUAUGUAUCUGGGUUAGUCCAGUGUGAUUCAGUUCUUCCAUUUUUCGACUGCUGAUGUUCUAUUACUUUCAGCAAAAAGGAAUACAAAUUCUUUUUUUAAUGUUUCUUAAGCAUAAGGACAGAAAGUGAUAAUUUCUUUCCUGUUUGCUACUGCAUUCCACUAAAGUGAGUGGACACAUUCUUACAAAGUCAGUAAAAUUACCAGCAGUGUCUGUAUAUAAACAUUAAAGUCAGGUAAGUAUUAAAUUUAUGCAAGGUAGAAUAUGCAUCGAGUCUAUGUGGUCCAUAUUAGUGUGUUUUCACGUAGGGAUAGAUGAAUAGUAGCACAUAUUUAAGAAAAAAAAAAAAAAGCUAUAUGAUUCCAGUUAAGAUCUUUGGUAAAAUAAUUCUCUCUUUCUAAGGGUUUUCCCUUUUCUAGCAAAGGAUUUUUGGUGUUUGUUGUUGUUGUUUUCUUGGUGCUCAUCUACAGUAGUUAACAUUUACUGCUGCCUUUUCCUCUGAGGAGGGAUGUGUUCUUACCAUUUUCUAGCCUUGCAAACAAUAGUAAUUGAUCUUCUUUCAGCUCGCUAGAGGUGUUUGAAUCUCUAUUUGCAGAUGUCUUUCCUCCUACAUUCAUUUUUAAUAGUCAAGUAGAAGAUGAAUGCAGCCAUAAGGCAUGUACUUUGGUAAGGAUACUGUAGAAAGCCUUUACAGAUAUAAACAGAUGUUUGUAAAAAAUAGGUAUAUAAUACAGGUUUUCAAUAUGAACUUCCAAACAUACAUGUUUUCCCUUUUUGACAUAAGAGUUUUAUAGCCUUUGCUUUUUGUCAUGUUCUCUUUGCAGUAAAAAUUACAGUGUUUUAAAUGUUCUGCUCAGUUUGUAAAUGUGGAAGUGCAACACUUUCCUAAUAACAAAAAAAAAAAAAAAAAAAAAAAAGGACAAAUGAUAAAAACUUACCGUAUAUAAUCAAUAAUGUUUUGUAAUUGUCAUAUUUUUUGCUCUGCUUUAAAAUGUGGCUGGAUUUUCUGAUACUAAAAGAAUAAUUCUGUGUUUCUAUGUAUAGACUGGGUUUUUAAUAUAUUUGUGAAUCUGUUCAGUAAAUCCAUGUAGGAAAAUACUGGCCUUAUGUUAUUAUGUGCCAGUCUUGCUAAAAGGUCCAUUUAAAAAGAGAAGCAUUAGAUCUAAUCCAGAUUCAGUUCCAAAUCCUCUUGAAACUAAACACUUUCCAAAAUGUGUUUCCAUUUGCAAAUAAUUGCUCUUGGUACAAGAAUUACAUUUUUAUUUUGGUCCAACAUAGUUGUUUUAUUUUAGUUUUGAAAGGUGCAAAUCAAAAUUUAUGAAGUAUGAAACAGACUGAAUUAUUUAAAAAUAUCUGAACAAUUAAUGGCACGGUUUCUGGAAUUAAUGUUCUAACUGAAAUGUUAAAAGGCACAGGUAAAGUUUCUAAAAAUCUAAUAAAAUAUUGGCAUUUUAACUUUAAAUAGUAAUGACGAAGUCAAAUUGUCCUAAUUUUAUUUUUUAUGACAUAAAAUGUUUUAGCUCAUCUUUUCGGAUAAUUGUUUGGACUUUUUAUCAGGGACAAGACUGAUUAAGUAUGUACAAUGGAAAUAUAUACACCAUUCUGCUUUUCAGUAAGGAAAAAAAGUUGGAAUACUUUGCGUUUGCCUAUAUUCUGGAUAGUCCAGUUGUUUACACAAGCCUUUAUUCUCUUAUUUAUUUAUUGAAAAUUAAAAUCUAAAAAUAUUUUGGCUUAGUGUUCAAAUUUUAGUGUCUUUCAAGUUAUUUCAGCAAGCAAACUUUUUUUUCCUAUGUGUUUAAUUUUAACAGAAACCUUCUGUAAAGGUAAAUGCAGAUUUAAGGACUUGUCGCUUAUUUAAAAACAAAAACUGAAGAAAAUCCUGAGGAAGCACUUAAUUAAACACUCCUGUGUUCUUAUGUAUAGUGUCAUAUAUGUUUUUAAAAUAGGAAAGUGUGUUUAUCUUGAUAUUGUCUGCUCUCUGUUGAAAUAAGUUAUGAAAACUACAACCUUAUAAUUUGAGAGGACUGCAGGAGACAGUGGAAAAUGCAGUUGAUGACUGAGUGCCAUGUUUUUACCUUUAUUACGUAGUCCUGAACAAGGACAAAAGUAUUUGUAAUGGCUGCUACAAUUAUUUGGCUAGUAAGGUGUCAACUGUUUCUUUCCAUGCACACUUUGAUUUCAUUGUAUAAAAAUACAUGGUCCUAUUUUGAGCUGCAAAAGGAGAGAUUAAGAUUAUGUAAUGUUUCAUGGUAGCUAUGCAUAAGCUCUUUGUUUAUUUACUCAAAGAAAUAUUUAAAAAAAUCUUUCUGAACAGCUGAAGUGACACCAAGCACCAGCUGAGGAAUCUGGAAUAAAAAUAUUUUAGGGCAUGAUUUGUGCUGAACUACAAUAUGAAUGUAUGAUUCUGCAAUAGCCAUUGUUCUGAGUGAGGUCAAAUUGCACAUGAAGAAGGAACACAAGUGAGGUCUGUCUUCACUGCAACUGAUGUCUGCACAUGUGCUAUUUCACAGUAUUUUUUUAAUCACAUGCAAAACUGAGAGAAUGACUGACUUGAUUGUUUUGUUUGUCCAUUGUAAUUUAAGACUUAGUAUGUCAAUUGGUGAAUUAAAGACUUGAAAGGAAAAAUAAAUAUUGAAAGUAGUGUCUUUGAGAAACUUAUUAGUUUUGCACCUUAACUUCAUACUUGUAAGAAAGCUAAAAGCCUUAGUAAAACAUUAGAGACUUGUUUUAAUGUAUUUUUUUACAUGUAGUGUACUGCAUGUUAAAAAUACAGUAUUGACCUACUAGUAUUAUAAAAGAUAGCAUUUUCUGUUUUCAGAUAAAACGGUGCAUUUUGACACAUUGUUUAAAAACUAGAACAGCUCUGCAUAUGAAAACACAAACUGUGAUAAUUAGAUAGAUAUGCCAUAUGUGGUCGUUUAAGUUGGCAUAUAUCUCAAAUGGCGUGUUUAAUGUACUGUAUAACUGGAAUUAGUAAUUUUACAGCUGAAAGCUGUUAAUUCUGUUAUACUGACUCCCUCUCAUGAACCUGUAGGUAAUGAUGGCAGACCUUUUUCUUUGCAAAGCCCUACUUCUGAUAGCUUAAAAUAUAGUUAUAAGCUGCUGUAUUUUUAGUGGAAUCUUUGACUAGUGUGUGUUCCCCAUAAUAUUUCAGUGUUUCUAUGUACUUGAGAAAUCUAAGACUUUUAAAAUAAUGGUAUAGUUAAUAUUGGAGGAUGGUAAGAACGUUUGCUUUAAUAAAAUGUGCAUAAUGUAGAGGAAAGAAGGAAGGUCUGUUUUUUUCAUAUAGCCUGUUUUUCUCGGUGUAAAACUUCCCUCACUUCUUACAGGGAAAAAAAUAUGUCAGCCCUAAGCACUUGAGAAUUGUUAAUGGUGGUUAAAAUCCUCACACCUGGCCUUACCACACAGUGUAGCUAGAUAAAAAUCACGUCACACUUGACAGAAAGCGCAAGGGAGGAAUGCAAGAUUUCAGAAUACAAAUAGGUAUGGCUGGGAUGGAGUUAAUUUUUUUUUUUUUCACAGCAGCUUGUAUGGUGCUAGGUUUUAGAUUUGUGACCAAAAAAGUGUUGAAGACACACUCAUGUUUUAACUGUUGCUGAACAGUCUUUGCACAUUGGCAAGGUCGUGUGUUUUUCACUCUGCCCACCCUCCUCAGUGAACAGAUCAACAAGAAAUUGAGAGGGGACACAACUAGGCAGAUGACCCUGAAGUGACUAAAGCUAUUUCAUGCCAUAAAUGUUGUCCUAGCAACAGAAUGGAGGGGAGGGGGUUUUAGAUAGUGUUUUCCUCAGAGAGUAGCUGAGCGGUGGUCUAGCCAUGGGAGGUGGUGAGUGAGUGCCUUUGCAUCACUUAUUUUGUCUGUGUUUUUUUUUUUCUUCCUCUUUUCCUUCAUUUAUUAAAAUAUUUUUAUCUUAACCCAGGAUUUUUCUUGCUUUAGUUCUUCCUAUUUUCUUCCCCCAUCGUGCUACAGGAGCUGGGGAGUGAGUGAACAGCUUUAUGGGCUUAGCUGCUAGCAAGGAGCACAGUGGAGCUGAGCUGAUCCUGCCAACUUCCUCUACGUUUUCUGGGACCAUGAAAGAACUGGCAACCCUACCUUUUAACACUGACUUAUUUUUAGCUCAUUUCUGUAAACUAUUCAUCAGAUCCCAAGAUCAGAGAAUAAUCUGUAAUAAUUUGUAAGAUACUUUUAAGAAGGAGCUAAAAUGACUAGAAUUUCAGGGACUGAGAAUUUUGAUUUGCUAUUGUACUUGCAUCAGUUUCAUAUUUUUUUUUUUUUUUAAAUAUUCAGAUACUAGCAGGGGAGCAUAACGACUCAAGUUUGAAAAAUCAAUUAUUUAACACAUCUCCCUGUCAAAAGAAUUGUUCACUUAAGGAAAUCAAUGUAUUUUUCUGUACAAAUAAUGCCCUGAAAUUGUAAAUAAAUAUUGAAGUUAUUUUAUAUUUUAUGUAUUUGGUGUUAAUUUUUUUUUAAAUAUCACAGAUAAGUGCCAUUUUAAAUAUCUUAACAUUUGUAACUGUGAUUUAGCUCACCUUGUUUUGUAAGGUGCAUGCAAUUGGAUUUUUCACACUUUAUCUGAUAUUUUUGUUUUCAUUAGCUCUGAUUUUGCACAACUGCAUCUAUAACCCAUUCUUGCUUGACUAAUGAGAACUUCUCAUGUACUUUCAGUAGGAGCUAGAUUCUUAUGCUUAUGGCACUUCAUUAUUAUUCUCUUGCACUGAGUACAAACUACAACAUCAAUAAAGACUACUUUAACGUUGAUGGUUUGGGAUUUUACCAGGCAAUGCGGGAUACUGUUAAGACUAAAAGUUAAAAAAAAAAUAACAAAACCCAAACAAGCAAAAAUACCCCCCCCCCCCCCCCCGCAAAAAAAAAACCCAAACCAAACAAAAACUAAACCAAAAACACCUACAUAAACUAAUUUGUACUGUUAUUUUUGAGAUAAUGACCCACUUGUGUGAAUAAAUAGGAGGAAGAACAGUAGUCUGUCUGCCCCACCCUCCUGCCCUCUCUUCAAGAUCUUGACCUAAUGAAACCAGACAGUGGGAUGUUAAUUUGAGAGCCUGGUUUUAUGGAAGCCUAAUAGUAUAAAUCAGGGGUGUCAACAUCAGCCUCGCGGUUGCCUUCAAAGGGCUGAAUGUAAUUUUAGGACUGUAUAAAUCUAACUACUCCUAUGUAGAGGUUCAUGGUAUUUUGUUGAUGAUUUCAAGAAAUAAGUUGUAAGUCAGAGGAAAUCAAUUGUAUAUGAAAACUCACUUGAAUGAUAUCUUGGACCUGUUCAUUGGUCUUUGUUUCUAAGUUUUUGGACCAUUUGUAGAGUCCUUAGAUUCAUCUGUUUAGGUCUCAUACUAACUAAAUGUUUUCUGUAUAAGUAGCAUGGAAAAACGCUUAGACAAAGAGAGAAGUGAUCAUGCAUUUGCUGAUACUUUUGGUUUGGUUUCACAGAAGACAUUAAGUAACAUGUAGUUUUAAGUUGUAGUGUGCUUUGUUUAGAAUUUUGCACUUUUAGUAAUGAUUGAUAAUAUACCUUUUUUCUUUACACUUAUGCAACUUGCAGAUAUUUUUCCUGUAAGCCCUAAAUACAGUCUCUCUUAGAUGCAAGUGCAUGUGCUCUCUGUCUUGCAUGGUCUUUGACACACAGGGGUGCAUGUACAGGAUGGGAUACAGUUUUGAUUUAGAAUUAGAUGCAUUGAGCAGUUAUUUUCAUAUCUUUCAUUUAAUGCAAAAAUCUUUACUGUUGUCACAGCUGAUUUUAUAAACUUAAUAUUUUUUCUCAAAUAAUUAAAUACGUUUUCAAAAUUAAACCCCAAUAACAUGCAUUUACGUAUUUAGUAAUGAUAAAGUCCAAUGUAAAUGCAAAAUCUUAGUUUUACUUUUUCCUUUAUUUUCCUGUUUUUAACUGAUAUUUGUACAUAAAGAGUUUAUAAAUCUCCAAAUUCUCAGAUUGUAUUUUCUUAUACAUUUGCUUUAUGUUCUUAUUUAAAAUAUGUAUACUUAUUUUGUACUUAUUUACAAAAGCACGAGUUAGGGUGUUUUCUUCAUGUGUAAUUUUGAUCCCCAUUAACUGACUUGUAGUAUUCUGUAGAAAUAUUUCUAAAUGUAGUUUUUAGUAAUUAUUUGAACCAGUAUGUUAUUGGCUAAUGCUUUCAGGAUAAUAAUUUUUCUUGGCUAUGAGGUUACAGUUCUUGCAUCAGAGUUUCUAUUCUGAAAAUUAGAUUACAAAAACAAGAUGAUGAGGGAAAAAUCGUGCAAUAAAAAGUAAUAUUUUCAUGAAAACCACGUAUCAAAACUAUAGUCUGAACAGUAUAGGUUCUGCAAAAAAAGCUGUAGCAAAUUCAGUCAAGCAAUUACAUGAUGGCAAAGCGCAAAGCCCUCUUACUCUAUGUGUAGUCUCAGAUCACUUCAAAAGUUAGGUUAAAAGUUUUAAUCAUUUGGGAUAGAUGCUGUAUGCUUAUAUAUAAAGUGAAUGGAGUAUAGGUACACAGCCAUUUGAAGAAGCUUGCUAUAAAGGGAGUCCCAUUGGAGACUUUCAGAAGCUGUUACACAGCUUAAAAUAGAAAAAAAACAUUUGUUUCCUUUACAGACAGGCAAUUAAAUACAAAAGUAUUUCUUGCAAUUAAUAAUAUUGUAUUCUUAAUCUAUUGUUGAUUGCAGGCAAUAACUGCUACUGUUUUAUUAGAUGAUUGAUGGAAAACAUAGAAACUCACAGCAUAAAGGGAGUAAUGGAAUCUUCCUAUAGCCAAGAUCACACAGUGACAGUACAACUGCUACAGAAGAGGGAGAAACACUGUAGGAGACUUCUGCAAUGUAAUUUCCAGAUAUCUUGAAAGAAGAGGAAGAUAUAGUACUGAUGAUUUUGUAGAGUAGCCCGCUGUUUUCUUACCACACACUGCCACUCUCUGUCCUUCUGAACCAAUCUAUGUUUUUUGUGUAGAUUCGCUAAUGUUGCUUAAGAACUUGCCAAAUACGAGCAGGAAACAUGAGGUAUUUAAAGUCCCUACUUCACCUGCAGAGUUAUUAGACAAGACUUGAACUUUUGAAAUAGAACUAAAGUUUACAAGAGGUCAAAAAUUGAGCAAUAAUUCAUCAUUGCUAUUUCAGAAACUCAUAAGUAGAAAUUUUAAAUAAACUCUGUGUUGAUAUUAAGGCUGCUUGGGCAUUAUAAUAGAAAACUUGGAAGAAGGCCUUAGUUUUGGGAGAUGAGCCAGUACUUGGACUCAUUACUUUGCGAUACUGUAUGGCUCAGUUUUUCCUAGGAGUCUUCACUUUCACUUUAAAAUAAUCACUGUAUGAUCACUAUGAUACAUAUUUUCUAUUGGUUCUAUACUGUAAUGUGUAGACACCUUUUGCCUGUAACUGUUGAUAGUUUGACAAUUACAUAUAUAUUUUCUUUCUAUGAUGGUUAUUAAAAAUCAUGGUCAUUUGAUAAGCAGCAAGAGACAAGAUCAAUGCAUCAAUGGUGAAAGAUUCCAUAGAGAUAAAUAAGUCCAGGAAAUUCAAAAGUUUAACUUCUGAGCCCAGCGCAGCAUAAUUUAUACAUUUCUUUACAUGUAAUUAAGGAAAACUUAUAGCACCAAGAUAUUCUAUAUAUGAUUUCCAAGUAAUGGAUUCCAUUUUUAUUAUUUAUACUUGAGAUUUUAAUUUAAAUUUUAUUGUGAGAAAAUUUCCAUAUGUUUCACUGGAAAUACUGAAUAGAUUGAUUCUCAUUUGGUAUUCUGGAUGGGUCUGAAAGUGUCCUACCUUCUCUGGCUGACUCAUCCUACUUUGAUCAAUUAAAUCUUUGGUAUGUUGAAGUUAUACUUCACUUUGCUUUUGGCCAGUCAUAACUACUGAGAUUUUAUUUAGACUUGAUAGCAGUAUGCUAAUGGAUCUCUGUUUAGAAGUUCUGUUAUUAACUAGUGCAGUAAAGCCAUGUUAAAAUGUAUUUUAAUGCUAAAGGUCUAAUUAAUACACACAUAUCUAAUUUUGUGAAAACAUACUUGAUAACUUGAAUGUCAGCAUUUUUACCAAGGGAGAUCAUUCUGUCUUACCUUUCCAUCUUUGGCCUUUUAGGGAAAAUACUUGUUUUAGGUGCUUGAAUCAUCACAUAUUUUGAGCUAAAUUACUUCCAUGUCUGCUCUGGAACAACCUUAUCUUAGUCACAGCAAUACAAUACAGAAGUGGUAGUCAGAUAAACAGAACAGGAAUAUAUAUAGGAUUUAUGAUACUUAAUUUUAAAGUUCUACAUAGAUUUGUCUAGGAUAAACCAUCACACUUGAUUCCCUUUGAAUUAUUGUUUACUAACUAUAAUACUUUUGUUCUCCACCCAGUAGUUGUUACUGUUGUCUUGGAUCAUGCUGCAGUCAUAUAUCUUAUAUGAAAAGAAGACUGGCAUUACCACUUUAAGAUUAUUAAGUAGCCUAAAUAAAUUCCGUUUCAGAAGUUAUUAGAGAAGUAAUAUAAGAUUAAUAUAAAAUGAACUAUUUUAGGUUUUUUAAGCAUUUUUUAGCUUUUCAUGUUUGCUUUUUGUUUUUGUCACCACUUAAGGUAACAAUAACUUUUCCCUCUUGAAUUAUUGUGUGCCUUUUGCUUAAGUCCACUAAGAAAUAAAACCCACACAAACAAACAGAAAAACCACCACCACCACCAAAACCCAAAGAAACAAAAAAAAACUAAACAAAACUUUCCUGGACUUCUUUCCAUCCAAAUAUGACUAUAAGAAAAUGGUCAUCAUGCGACAUGUCUGUUUUACUUCAAGUCUGUAAUGUGUAGUUAGCAAGAAUGAAUUAUGACUGGCUUUUUUUACUGAGGCUCCAUUUUGUCUGCCACACUUGGUCAACUGCUUGACAAUUAUUGAAAAAAAAUAUUACUGAAGAGACAAAUAGCUUAAAACCAUUUCAAAGAGAUUGGAUGUUAGGCCAGUGACGUUGAAUUUGACUUUCUAUAUUGUGUAAAGUUGGUGUGACACAAGGGUAACAUGCUUAUAGUUAUUGGCGUUUUUGAAAAGAUAUACUUCUGCAUUUCAUAAUAAAUAAUCUAUUGCUUACCUAGAUUUAGUAAAUUGCAGUAACAAGGAUGAUGGUUUUAAGUGUGUGAAAUGCUAUGGAUUAGUGCAUGGCAUGACCUUAGAGGUGAAAGCAGGAGUCUUGAGAAUUUUAUAUUUGCUCUUAACUUGCUGAGUGUAAAUGUUCUUGUCCUUCUAACUAGGAUACGGAUGUCCGUGAAUGUGUCACUUGCACCACUAGUUUACAUUUUAUUUGUUAAGACUAGUGAUUUUUUUUUUUAACGUAGUAGGUGUUUUCUCCAAUUAAGCUUCAUUAUCUUGAGAUAAUGAAAUGAAUCUAUUUUGUUGUGUCAGAACAACUACUGUGUUUAUAUUUCACACUGUGAAACAUUAGGUGUGUGGGAACACUGGAUGGCCAGGUAAUAAAUAUUUAGCCAAAUUUUCACAGCGCAGUUAGCUUCUGAGUGUCUUUAGAAUGAUCUGAGUAAGAAUGAUUUCCAACCUCAUUUCAUAUGAAUUUUGUGUUCCUAUUGAACUAUCAGUAGGUUUAAUAUAAAGCUCAUUUGUAGUGUAGGUUCCUAUAUCUAGGGGUUUAUAUGUUAUGUAUUACAUACCUCAUUGAGGAAGGGUUUCACGCAUGAUUUCAACUGUGUAAAACAGAAAUUACAUUAAAAAUUACAGUGUUUUUGAUGAAGUCUCCCUAGCACUUGAAUAAAGGUGUCUUGAAGCAACUGUGACUUUCAUUCAUCAGAAGUAUGUUAACUAAUACAAUAGAUGUGCCUUUAAAAUCUUGUACAGUUAAAAUUUAAUAUUAUUCUUGCCUCAUGAAUUAGUUCAACGUUGAACAAAUAUAUUUUACAGAUGUAUUUUUCUGAGAUUUUUAAAAUUUUUGCUUUUGAAAUUAAAGCAAGGUAUUACUUCUUACAAAUGGGAAAAAAAAAAUAUGCUAUGGUUUUAUUUCCUGAAUUAACUAAUGUUGACAAGGGUGUCCUUCAGAGCGUUGUAAUACAGUAUUUAAUUAUCAACUUCAGUUUCUUUUAAUAACCCCUGUAAGAAGAUGGUAAUUAUCUUGCAUAUAAUCAUUGGCUGAUACACUUAACAGCCCAUCUAUGAUUCAUUCUUUUCAAUUACCUGCACUUUGUAGCCUUGAGACAAAAAUGCCAUGCUUUUCUUGACAAUUAAGUAUUGUUACUAGAUGAAGGUAUUCUGAUUUUUCUUUUUCUACUUUGACAAUGUCCUUCAAUCUAUGUAGUUAAGAGUGGCAUCUUCUAGGCUGUGUGUGCAUUCAGUUUCAAAUAACCAAGCGGUUAUUUGGUACUUGAGCUUUUCCUUGGCUGUCCAAAUUAAUAGAAGCAGUUGGAUGUUGCACAUGAGUACCAAAUUGUGAUAACUGCGAAGUCAUCUAAAUGCCAGAUAAACCUGUUAAGAAUAUAUGACUACUUUUCAGUUUAUAGAAAGUGCUUUAGACAACAUUUAAUGAUAUAUAAUAAUGAAGUCUUCAAAGCAUUAAUGGUAUCAACUAUUUCAACUUGAACUGCAGCAACAUCAGUUCUUACCUACAACUGAUAGACUAACGAUAGUCCAAAUUAAUGAUAUUAUAGAAUAUUGAACUUGGCUUUAGUGGGCAGAGGUUGACAGUUUGUUAGUUCUGUGACUAAUAGAAAAUAAUAGAGGAGCAAGAACUCUCCAAGCCUUCUGUUUUAUUGUGAUAUAGAUGCAGUAAAGUUAUAGGACACCUUUAGCUUUUCUUACUUAUGUUACAUAAUAUACAAUAAUUAAAAGCUUAAACCACCCCACUUUAAAUUUCAGAAAAACACCAGCAUGCUUUUUAUUUUAGUUUUGCAGUAUUUAUAUCCUUUUAGUUCUAGUUAGUUUUUCAGAUAUAACAAUAUGUAUGAAUUGUCAAUGUAUCAAAAAAGAAAAUUGCAAUAAGAAAUGAAAAUAUAAAUUUUUAUAAAAUUUUUAGGUCAACUAAAAUGAUGGCUUCUUGCCUGUUUGGAAAUGUACAAGCAUAUGUAAUAAAUUUUGUAUGCUUUCUAGUGGUGUAUGCUUUCUUACUAAUGAAAUUUCUGAAGUGUAUAAAACAUAUUUUAGCUUAUCACGUUUCUGCCAUCUUCCUGACAUAUUAUCGUCGUGUACUGUGUUUAAAUUUUUCAUUUAUAUUACUGUUAAGCUUGAGAUAGUUGAAAUUGUCUAAACACUAUUCUACUUUUGAUAAAGCCCCCACAUUCAGAUUUUGUUAAAAUCAGUUUUUCAAAAUUCAUUUAACUCCUCCAUCAUUAAGGAAAGCUGAAUGUCAGUCACCAGCAGCUGAAGUAUUAGAGCGGGAUAUGUCUUUAAAACUUUAAACAAGAAAGGCUAAUAUUCUUUCACUAAUCUCCUCACCUUAACAGCACCCUCCAAUCAGAAACUAACUAGAUCAAGUGUUGUCAGGCAUUGGAACAGGCUGCCCAGGGAAGUGGUGGAGUCACCAUCUCUGGAGGUGUUUAAAAGACAUGUAGUGGGAGGGAGUUCUAUACAGUUUCUGAUCUGUUUAGUAGUAUAUAGGUAACCACCAGCUGUCACUAAAAAAAAAAUGGUGGUUCUAGCAGCAGAGGGAGACUGUUUCAUCAAGUCUUGAUUUAGACAAAGAUCUGCUUAUGGAGCUUUAAGGUUCUUACUGUUGAGACUCUGACAAGUAUCUCAACUUUGAUUUGGGGCUGGGCAGUAUCUCUGUUUACUUUAUAGUUGCAUCUACCUCAGUUACAUUUGGGUUUAUUUUCUGCAUUGUAUACUUUCUCUCUCUGAAAUAUGUUACGGAGGACAGUCUUGUUCUAUACCAAAGCCAGAGAUGAAAGCUUUGUGGUCUAACAAUGAAUUGAGGUAAUAAAUAUUGCAAAGUUCAGUCCUGUAUAAGCAUGUGGUAUGUAGUUUAUGGAUGCACAUUAAUUCUGGAUUUUGUUAUUGGAAUAGCUUUUAAACUGAAAUACAAGCUCUUCUUAUGGUGAAAAGAAACUGUUGUAUGAUUGGCAUGUUGUAGCACAACAAAAAAGCAACUUUUGUUUUAGUUUCAGUCUUCAACUGAAUGUCUCAUUUGCCAUUUAGAAUGUAUUAUUGUGGAGGAGAAUAAGAGUGUCAGUGUUUACUUUACUCAAGAUCUUCAAUAUAUGAUGUAGUGAUAAAAGGCUUGAAAAUACAUAAUUUCUAACUCAGUACAGAAGACUACAGUGCAAUGUAAUACUACAUGGAAAAUUUCUAUUAGUAUAUCUUUAAAAGCAUAUUUUCUGCAACAAUAUUAUAAGUCUAAUUCUACAAUGUGCAGUGCCUUAAUGAGGAUGUCUUGUAAUAUUAGGAUGGUAAAAUAAAACUGCCUUUUAAAUAAAUUGUUGUCUAGUCAUAGAGUUUGUUUUCUAAGGCAGAUUACAAAUAAACAUGCUGAGCAGGUGUUUAAAGAUUUAAUUUUACUGUACAAGCAGCACAGUACUGUACUUUCUGCUUUAAACUAAAGAGGAUAACUGAAUUGUCUAAUUUAGUUUUAGUUAAUGGUAGAAUUUAGACAAUGUAACUUUGUAAUUAAACAAACUUAAUUGUCUAACAUAGACAAUUUAGUUUAACAGGUUUACUGAAAUGCCUUUCCAAAAGUACGUGAAAUUGCACACAAAAGUAGGAGUUCUUUGCAAAUAAAUGCUUUGGAAUAUUUUCCCACUUAUCUACAGAACUUUAACUGACACUAUUCACAAAGUGAAACAUUUUCUAUUCACUGACAUUUUAGUUAUGAAGAACUUAAGUGCUGCAGAUAACUCCACAGUACUUUUUUCUCUUGUUCUGUUUUCUAUUCACGUGUAUGAGCAGCCACACUAAACAAUUUGUAAUGUAUGUGGACGUUUUCUUCGGUUUCAGUUGUAGUAGUUGAGAAACAGAAAGUACUGCACAGCUGUCCUUUAUUACUGAAGUAGAAAGUGAACAUGGGAAGAAAAUCAGUGCAAUUAAAACAUGUUUGAAAUAUGUUUGUCUCCUUUAUACUGAACUUUACUUGCUUUAAAAAAAAAAUAAGUGAAUGCACUCGAACUGCCACUACUGCAUGCAUGUGAAUAUUUGCAUUCUAUUCUUUACCAAAUUUCAGUUCAGCAGUCUAACUGUCAAGGAGGAAUGCCUUGGACAUAAAGUCAUUAAUACAAUACUGAUGUUAAGGUAUUCAGAUGAAGUGUGGCUUCAGGAAUACCUAUAUAUAGACUCCCAGUUCUGUUUUGAUAGGUUAAUUAACCUAAGUUUGUGAGUUUGAGUAUGGUCCUUGAGCAUAGUUCUAAAAAAAUGCCGGUUACACACAUCCUGCUACUUUAUUCCUUUCAAGCUUUUGAUCUAAUUCUUCAUUCUGUUCUUCAUGACCAACUUAUGUGUCUCAUAUUACUUAUUUUUUUUCCGGGUGUACCAGAUUCUUAGUGGAAAUUCUAGAAUUAAAAAAAAAAAAAAAAAAAAAAAA